rnacentral:rRNA from 1 species
AACAGGAUUAGAUACCCUGGUAGUCCACGCCGUAAACGUUGGGCGCUAGGUGUGGGGGUCCUUCCACGACCUCCGUGCCGCAGCUAACGCAUUAAGCGCCCCGCCUGGGGAGUACGGCCGCAAGGCUAAAACUCAAAGGAAUUGACGGGGGCCCGCACAAGCGGCGGAGCAUGCGGAUUAAUUCGAUGCAACGCGAAGAACCUUACCAAGGCUUGACAUGCACAGGAAAGUUCCAGAGAUGGUUCCCCCGCAAGGUCUGUGCACAGGUGGUGCAUGGUUGUCGUCAGCUCGUGUCGUGAGAUGUUGGGUUAAGUCCCGCAACGAGCGCAACCCUUGUCUUAUGUUGCCAGCGCGUUAUGGCGGGGACUCAUAAGAGACUGCCGGGGUCAACUCGGAGGAAGGUGGGGAUGACGUCAAAUCAUCAUGCCCCUUAUGUCUUGGGCUUCACGCAUGCUACAAUGGCCGGUACAAAGGGCUGCGAAACCGCAAGGUGGAGCGAAUCCCAAAAAGCCGGUCUCAGUUCGGAUUGGGGUCUGCAACUCGACCCCAUGAAGUCGGAGUCGCUAGUAAUCGCAGAUCAGCAACGCUGCGGUGAAUACGUUCCCGGGCCUUGUACACACCGCCCGUCACGUCACGAAAGUCGGUAACACCCGAAGCCGGUGGCCCAACCCUUGUGGAGGGAGCCGUCGAAGGUGGGAUCGGCGAUUGGGACGAAGUCGUAACAAGGUAACC